rnacentral:rRNA from 1 species
UACGUAGGUGGCAAGCGUUUGUCCGGAAUUAUUGGGCGUAAAGCGCGCGCAGGCGGUCCUUUAAGUCUGAUGUGAAAGCCCACGGCUCAACCGUGGAGGGUCAUUGGAAACUGGGGGACUUGAGUACAGAAGAGGAAAGCGGAAUUCCACGUGUAGCGGUGAAAUGCGUAGAGAUGUGGAGGAACACCAGUGGCGAAGGCGGCUUCCUGGCCUGUUCUUGACGCUGAGGCGCGAAAGCUAGGGGAGCAAACGGG